UACAGAGGUCUCAAGCUUUGUUCGGAUUCAUUGGGCGUAAAGGGUGCGUAGGUGGCGCCGUAAGUCGGGUGUGAAAGCCCUCAGCUCAACCGAGGAAGUGCGCCCGAAACUGCAGAGCUUGAGUGCCGGAGAGGAUGGCGGAAUUCCCCAAGUAGAGGUGAAAAUUCGUAGAUAUGGGGAGGAACACCGGUGGCGAAAGGCGGCCAUCUGGACGGUAACUGACGCUGAGACGCGAAAGCGUGGGGAGACAAACAGG
rnacentral:rRNA from 1 species